rnacentral:rRNA from 1 species
AUCCAUUGGAGGGCAAGUCUAGUGCCAGCAGCCGCGGUAAUUCUAGCUCCAAUAGCGUAUAUUAAAGUUGUUGCGGUUAAAAAGCUCGUAGUUGGAUCUCAGUUCCAGACGGGCGGUCCACUUACCGGUGGUCACUGCUUGUUCUGAACAGCCAGCCGGUUUCCUUUGAUGAUCUUCACCGGUUGUCUUGGGUGACCGGCAAGUUUACUUUGAAAAAAUUAGAGUGCUCAAAGCAGGCGCGACGCCUGAAUAAUGGUGCAUGGAAUAAUGGAAUAGGACCUCGGUUCUAUUUUGUUGGUUUUCGGAACACGAGGUAAUGAUUAAGAGGGACAGACGGGGGCAUUCGUAUUGCGACGCUAGAGGUGAAAUUCUUGGACCGUCGCAAGACGAACUACUGCGAAAGCAUUUGCCAAGAAUGUUUCCAUUAAUCAAGAACGAAAGUUAGAGGUUCGAAGGCGAUCAGAUACCGCCCUAGUUCUAACCAUAAACGAUGCCAGCCAGCGAUCCGGCUGUGUUCCUCAAAUGACACGCCGGGCAGCUUCCGGGAAACCAAAGCUUUUGGGUUCCGGGGGAAGUAUGGUUGCAAAGCUGAAACUUAAAGGAAUUGACGGAAGGGCACCACCAGGAAUGGAGCCUGCGGCUUAAUUUGACUCAACACGGGAAAACUUACCCGGCCCGGACACAGGAAGGAUUGACAGAUUAAGAGCUCUUUCUUGAUUCUGUGGGUGGUGGUGCAUGGCCGUUCUUAGUUGGUGGAGCGAUUUGUCUGGUUAAUUCYGAUAACGAACGAGACUCUAGCCUACKAAAUAGACGUCCCGGUCC